rnacentral:lncRNA from 1 species
GAACUGACUUGAAUCAAUUGCUUUCUGGUCAAUGGCUUCCUUCUCUGCAACAUCAGUGCUGCUUCAUUUCUAUUCUGGAAGGGUUGCCCGACUUCGUGCCACUGACUUUGAAACUGACCAACGCAUAGGAGAAGCCUCUUGGAUGUAAACUGUAUAGAUGAUCCAUGGGUGUGUAGCAUGAUUUGGGUAUUAUGUACUAAUGUUGUUUGCAGUUGGACUCCCCUGGUUGAAGAUGAUCUAGGUACCUCAUCUUCAGCCAUGAAGGUUACCUGAGAUUCUGUUGGCUGUUUCUCGGGUUUUUGCCACUACAUCAGUUCAUUGACAGAACACAGCACUGUAAGCUUAUCUCUACUUUCCUCGACAAAACGCAAGCAAAUGUGGCCAACAAUAGUUAUAUAUACUGAAACGAACUCUCUCCUAUACUGGCAAUGAAGGCAGGAAAAUGGCAAUUCUUUUCCCUACAAUGCAAGAACAAAACUAGUUAAGCAGAAAGAAUAAUCAUGUCAGGUUCUAUUAUGGACAAUAAUCCAAUAUGAUGAAAGACUUGAGAAGGAUUGAGGGAGGUUGGUAAAUGUAAAAGAUUAUAGGUCGAGGGAGCCUAAAAACUAAAAUAGCCUAGGAUAAAUUGAGGAAGAGGACAGCAGCAGAGAACUAAGUUUGAAAUUGACAAAUAUCGCACUAUAGUCACACAUCAAUGCAGUAGUUCGUCCUCUGUAACCUAACAAUAAACGCAAAAUCUCCAAAUUCAAAACUUUUUCUGGGAUAAGUUUAUCACAAUAAAACCUUAUCUUAGCUUAGAUACCUGCUGUUUGAAAUGAUUCACGAUUGUUUUAUUGAGAGAUUCAACUUCAGUCCAAUCUAGCUGGUUCAAUUCAUCAUGAACAACAAAAUUAACAAAACAAAUGAAAACAAAGAGAAAGUUUCAAUUAAUGAUUUGAAGCAAGACCUAACCCUAGAAACUAAGAACAAUAGGUGAUGAUCUUCAAUUGAUUGGAAACAGUAUCUUGAUAGAAAUGAAUAUUGGUUAAGACAGUUUUCUUCCUUUGUAGUAAUCUGUCUAACACAAUCCACCACCUUUUCUCAACAAAUAUCAUAUUUCCUUAUAAUUAUAGAUAACACUACCUGCCCAUAAGUGCAAACUUCAGUUGCCUUAAUUGCUUUCUUUCCCUGAAGUCGGUUAACAACGUACAUGAUCCUUCGGAGAACUCUAAACCAAGGUUAAUAGCAUGUACAACUCUAAACCAAGGUUAGAUUCAUACAUGUGUAAUGGGUUUUUUCCAAGGAGUUAUAAACAUGGAUCAGCAAUGGAGAAAUUUUUGCUGACAAAUUAUAAUGCAAUUACUUUCUUUCUCUGAAGUUGAUAAACAACGUACAUUACCUGUCUGCUAAGAAUGCACAUAUACCACUGAUCUGACCAUAGUAGCUAAGGAGUUUGAAAAAUCAACAAAUAAAACUUUUGAGAUUGAAAAAGGACAUAAUAUAGGUUAUUGAGAAGGAACUAAAUCUAACCUGCAGCAAGUUUUGAAUGAAUCUUCGUCCGAAUUAGUUAGCAAAUUGAGUCCUCAUCUGCGGAAACGGAAAAAGGAAGAGAAGAAUGUGAGACAGUUUAUUUAUAAUAGUUGAAUGCGCAAGUUGAGAAGAAUGUGAAACACUUUCUCUGAAGUCAAUUAACAUCGUACAUGACCUGUACUAUACAAUUUCAUAAAUGACAUUUUGAAGCUGUAUGGAUGUGAAUUAUAAAAAUACUCUAAAGUAAACAAAAACAUAAAUAAAAAAUAUAUUAGUAUCACUGCAUAGACUGACGCAUGAUUAUCAAGCUAAGAAAAGAAAAGUAAAGGAAUUCUCUCCAUGUUAGGGACUUUCCAGACCCACACCUGGAAAUGAAAUCAACACAUGAUCUAGACAAACCAAAGACAAUAAAAUCAACCCAAGAAUAUCCCAUCAAAUUUCCCCCAAAACAUGGUCUGAUAAGAUCUGCAGUUCUGCACACCUGGUGAAGACCGCCGCACCUGCAUUUCUCUGUCUCGUCGUGCUUUGUGCUAAUGACCUCCGCGAAAUUGCCAAAGAUGAAACACAAGGACCUAUUUGAAGCUGAGGAUGCAAACCAAUCGGAAAACAACAAACCAAGGUAGUUGUUAUAAAAUUGGCAAAGACAUUUCACAAUGACAGGCCCAAAAAUAUACCAAUACAAACCUCAUCUGCGACCAGCCCUUGCAAACCUCCUUGCAAACAUCUGCUAAGGUCACUGUACUUGCCACAUGUGCAAAUUGUCUCUGGAAUGAGAUUCACAACAAUCGACAUUGGUCUACCAGUCACACC